ACCGUUGGUCCACAGUAUCUUUGUUGUUGGCGCUUGGCUCCUUCUGAGGUCCGGAGCUCAUUGUACAAAGAACCUCUUAUCUCCUCCAGUGCUCUACCUAAUCAUUUGAACCAUGAGAACCUGCAUUUUUCGCUUUUUUUUGGGUAUUCUGAAGACUUGUUGGCGCUUGGCUCCUUCUGAGGUCCGGAGCUCAUUGUACAAAGAACCUCUUAUCUCCUCCAGUGCUCUACCUAAUCAUUUGAACCAUGAGAACCUGCAUUUUUCGCUUUUUUUUGGGUAUUCUGAAGACAAUGCUAAUGCUGUUCGAGCCGAAAAUAGUUUAUAUUGGUAUUGAGACCAAGGGUAUUGUCAUUAAUGUCAUAUAAUCUUUGUUUCUAUUUCAUAUUCAUUCACAAAGUGGUUCUAAAAGAUGAUUCCAUUUUUGGAAUUGGGUAGUGUGAACAUCAACCAAAUUUGCAGAAAAUAAAAUAGCACAUAUAAAACACCAUCUUCUUGGCUGAUAAAAUAUAAUCUCACACAUAAUGGCCAAGGGAAAGUAAUAAUUAGCUUAAGAGAGUUUAAAUCUAAUCUCUGAAUAAUUGGCCAUAGCAAAGUUG
rnacentral:lncRNA from 1 species